GUGGCGAGAUUAAGUAAUGAGAACUUGGGCCCAGUUUUUUUUCCAAGCCUAGAAGGGCAGAAUAUGUUCGUAUCCUUUCUGACCUCCCAGGCAUAUGCAAUGUUUUCCAUAUUUAGGAGACUUCAGAAAGGUGGGGCAGAUAGAAUGGAGAUGGCAAAGAUCUCUUUGGGUAUAUAUGGGCCUGGCGAAGUAAUGGAAUAAUUUCUAAUUUUCGGAGAAGCCCUCAUGCCGGGAUGGCAGAAGAUGAGCCUGAUGCUAAGAGCCCCAAGACUGGGGGAAGGGCCCCCCCAGGUGGUACUGAGGCUGGGGAACCUACCACCCUUCUUCAGAGGCUCCGAGGUACCAUUUCCAAGGCCGUGCAGAACAAAGUAGAGGGGAUCCUGCAAGAUGUACAGAAAUUUUCUGACAAUGACAAGCUGUAUCUCUACCUUCAGCUCCCCUCAGGACCCAGCACUGGAGACAAAAGGUAGGUUUGAUGGUAGUUUUAGAUGGCAGAGGUUCUGAUUCUUAGAGAAAGGUUCACUGGGAAGGGGUGAAGUGAAUAGGAAGACUCGUAACUGCUGUCCUUGAUGAAGAGGAAAAG
rnacentral:sRNA from 1 species